CAGCCGCCACGGUAAUACGGAGGGAGCUAGCGUUGUUCGGAAUUACUGAGCGUAAAGCGCACGUAGGCGGCUUUGUAAGUCAGAGGUGAAAGCCUGGAGCUCAACUCCAGAACUGCCUUUGAGACUGCAUCGCUUGAAUCCAGGAGAGGUGAGUGGAAUUCCGAGUGUAGAGGUGAAAUUCGUAGAUAUUCGGAAGAACACCAGUGGCGAAGGCGGCUCACUGGACUGGUAUUGACGCUGAGGUGCGAAAGCGUGGGGAGCAAACAGGAUUAGAUACCCCAGUAGUCCCUGUCUCUUAUAA
rnacentral:rRNA from 1 species